UGGGGGAUAUUGCACAAUGGGCGAAAGCCUGAUGCAGCGACGCCGCGUGGGGGAUGAAGGCCUUCGGGUUGUAAACUUCUUUUGCUCUGAACAAGGCAUGCCUUUGGGGUGUGUUGAGUGUAGGGGUUGAUUAGCGCCGGCUAACUACGUGCCAGCAGCCGCGGUAAUACGUAGGGCGCGAGCGUUGUCCGGAAUUAUUGGGCGUAAAGGGCUUGUAGGUGGCUGGUUGCGUCUGUCGUGAAAGCUCAUGGCUUAACUGUGGGUUUGCGGUGGGUACGGGCUGGCUUGAGGGCAGUAGGGGAGGCUGGAAUUCCUGGUGUAGCGGUGGAAUGCGCAGAUAUCAGGAGGAAUACCGGUGGCGAAGGCGGGUCUCUUGGCUGUUACUGACGCUGAGGGGCGAAAGCGUGGGGAGCGAACAGG
rnacentral:rRNA from 1 species